rnacentral:rRNA from 1 species
CGGGAUGGACGUACCGCUGGUGCACCAGUUGUUCCGCCAGGAGCAUGGCUGGGUAGCUACGUACGGACGGGAUAAGCGCUGAAAGCAUCUAAGCGUGAAGCCCCCCUCAAGAUGAGAUUUCCCAAUUCGUAAGACCCCUUGAAGACGACGAGGUAGAUAGGUUGGAGGUGGAAGUGCAGCAAUGCAUGGAGCUGACCAAUACUAAUCGGUCGAGGGCUUAUCCUA